UACGUAGGGGGCAAGCGUUGUCCGGAAUCAUUGGGCGUAAAGAGCGCGUAGGCGGCCCUGUAAGUCCGCUGUGAAAGUCAAGGGCUCAACCUUUGAAUGUCAGUGGAUACUGCCGGGCUAGAGUCCGGAAGAGGCGAGUGGAACUCCUGGUGUAGCGGUGGAAUGCGCAGAUAUCAGGAAGAACACCAACGGCGAAGGCAGCUCGCUAGGACGGUACUGACGCUGAGACGCGAAAGCGUGGGGAGCGAACAGG
rnacentral:rRNA from 1 species